CUCUAACUUAAAAUUAAAUAGAUUAAUUCAUAAUAUAGUCUUGUUGCCAAAUGGGCUUCUUUAAACUUCUGCUGGGCCUAUCACUACUUUCCAUCCCAAUGUGAACCUUGUCCUCAAGGUUAGAGAAACCAGUUGGUGGAUCCGGCCCAAGGAGAGGCCCACGGUGACUUGAAGAGAGCAAGUUAGGUUGAGCAAGCCGACUUGGAAUAGUGGUGCGAUGAGAGGUGGAAUCCAGCUGGGGUGAGAAAUUUGAAUUUUUGGGACGCGUGUUGCCUUGCUGUGCUUCAAGAGGUGAACGUUGAUAAUCCAACGGUGGGACGCCAGAAAGCGUGUUGGCCUUCCAAUUUGGUUUCCAAGGAGCAUUGGGCAGUGGGGUAAUUAAUGUAGUAGGUGGAAAACAGCUGUGAGCACAUGGGAAAGUGUCAUGGGAACCCGUAGAGAGACUAGUGGGUGGGGCCAAGGGUGAGUGAGAAAAGUCUUUGUUUUGGCAUCCAAUGCUGUUGGACGGUGCAGAUACAAAUGUAGGGAUAUCCAACGGUGAGACAUUGGGCAGGCUUUCUAGAUCUUUCUGACGCGUGAGAUAUGGGGCAAAUGCACUUGGAGUGUACUUUGGAGACUUAGAAAAGAUCUUAUGAGUCUUAGAUAACUCAUUUCCCUCAGAAUAAUGUUGAACCACUUCUUUUUCUCCUUGGUUCUGCAAAGAGUCCUGUUCCAAACUAGCUUCGCAAACCUCUGUUUUUUUAGUAAUUCCUUCUGGUCUCUCAUUCUCUUCAGACUGAAAGUCAGUUGUUUCCUCUUCUUCUUCGUUCUCUCUAAGGUUUUCGGGUAGGGAACUUGGGUAGAUCUGUGGAUCUUGAGCAUGAUAUUUUCGGAGUUGGGAAAUAUGGAAAACUGGGUGGAUCUUAGAUGGCGAGGGUAGUUGCAGUUCAUAGGCCACCGGACCGAUUCUGCGCACAACAGGAAAAGGGCCAAAAUAUCUCUUUGAAAGUUUUUGAGAGGUUCGCCGCUGCACCGAUGUUUGCCGGUAUGGUUGGAGUCUCAAUAACACCAGAUCACCAAUAGCGAAGCGUUGCAUCCAGUAAGGGAAUGGUGGAGAACCCUUUGACAUAGUCUUUAACCGCUGGAGGAGGCCGACCGUAGAGAGCUUCGAAAGGCGUCAUUUUGAUUGAAGAAUGGAGACAAGUGUUAUGCCAAAGCUCUGCUAAAUGAAGAAAUUUGAACCACUGUCGAGGAUUAUCGCUUGUGAAACACCGCAGGGUUGUGCCUUGCACUCGAAAAAGCUCUUUCCAGAAAGUGCUCAAGAAGAUCGGAUCUCGGUCCGAUACGAUGGUUUUUGGAAUCCCAUGAAGCCUACAGAUCUCCACAGAGAAACGUCGUGCUAGAUCUACAGCGGAGAACUUGGGUGGUAACGCAAUAAAAUGAGAAAAUUUUGAUAGUCUGUCACAAACGACCCAGAUAACUGUGUGACCGAAAGAUUUUGGCAGAUGAGUAAUAAAAUCCAUUGACAAGUCCUCCCACACUUGUUGAGGUAUCUCCAGAGGUUGUAAUAAUCCUUGUUUUUUUGUUGGCAGGUAUUUGUUGUGUUGACAAGAGGUGCAGCAUUGGACCAACUUCUUAACAUCUCUGUAAAGUCCCGGCCAUAGGAAAGUCGCAGAAAUUCGAGACAAGGUUGGCUUCAGACCUGAAUGGCCUCCAGAAGGUGUGCUGUGACAUUCCUUGAGAAUAGUAGAACGAAAUUCCAGAUCCUCCGUAUUGGCGCAGUUGUGAAAGGAAUGUUGGAACAGAAGAUGAGAUUGCAAGCAAGAGGGACGAUUCUUCUGUGUGCCUUCUGCUCAGAGCAUCAGCGACACUGUUGGAUUUCCCAGUAAUCGCAUACAUUUCUCGAACAUAUACAGAAGCAGCCUGAAGUCGAGGGCACAUUUUCUUGCUGAAGAAAGCUAAAGGGUGACCAGAUUGUGAAAGAACUGCACCAAUGGCUACGGCGGAGGCAUCUGUUUCGACAACAAAGAGUUUGUUGAAGUCUGGAAGAGCAAGCACAGGAGUUGUCGUCAUAAUUUGUUUUAAACUUGUAAAAGCACUCUCUGCAUCUGUAUUCCAUGUAAACUUAGUGGAUCGUAAUAAAUCGGUGAGAGGAGCGGCGUGUGUGGCGUAGUGGCGGACAAAACGCCUGUAAAAACCAGUGAGGCCCAAAAAUCCCCUGAGUUGCGAGAGUGAACGUGGCUGCGGCCAGUCUAAUAUUGCUUGAAUUUUGUUAGGAUCAGGGGUAACACCAUUAAAAGAAAUGACGUGACCUAGAUAAUCAACCUUAGGAACUGCAAAAACACACUUAGAAAGUUUUGCAACAAAUUUAUGUGAAGCAAGUAGGUCUAAAAUCAAAGUUAGGUGAAGUAAAUGAUCCGAAUAAGAUUUGCUGUAAAUUAAAAUAUCAUCAAAGAAAACAAGAACAAACCGUCUCAAAUAAGGUCUUAAGAGGUCAUUCAUCGCCGACUGAAAGGUACUAGGAGCAUUAUUUAAGCCAAAUGGCAUCACCAAAAACUCAUAGUGCCCAUCAAUGGUUCUAAACGCCGUCUUGUGAGUAUCUUCAGGUGCAACCCUAAUUUGAUGGUAGCCUGACCGUAGGUCAAUCUUUGUAAACAAAGUAGCAGAUCCCAACUCAUCAAAAAGUUCAUCAAUUGUGGGGAUAGGGAAUCGGUCUCGGAUAG